UACACGACCGUACCGCAAACCGACACUGGUGCGCGAGAUGAGUAUUCUAAGGCGCUUGAGAGAACUCAGGAGAAGGAACUCGGCAAAUUGACACCGUAACUUCGGAAGAAGGUGUGCCUUUAGUAGGUGAACCAUUUACUUGGGGAGCCCAAUGAGGCUGCAAAAAAUCGGUGGCUGCAACUGUUUAUUAAAAACACAGCACUCUGCUAAGACGAAAGUCGACGUAUAGGGUGUGACGCCUGCCCGGUGCUGGAAGAUUAAAUGAUGGGGUGCAAGCUCUUGAUUGAAGUCCCAGUAAACGGCGGCCGUAACUAUAACGGUCCUAAGGUAGCGAAAUUCCUUGUCGGGUAGGUUCCGACCUGCACGAAUGGCGUAAUGAUGGCCACACUGUCUCCUCCUGAGACUCAGCGAAGUUGAAAUGUUUGUGAUGAUGCAAUCUCCCCGCGGAAAGACGGAAAGACCCCAUGAACCUUUACUGUAGCUUUGUAUUGGACUUUGAACAGAUCUGUGUAGGAUAGGUGGGAGGCUUUGAAGUGUGGUCGCUAGAUCGCAUGGAGCCAACGUUGAAAUACCACCCUGGUGUGUUUGAGGUUCUAACCUAGGUCCAUUAUCUGGAUCGGGGACAGUGCAUGGUAGGCAGUUUGACUGGGGCGGUCUCCUCCCAAAGUGUAACGGAGGAGUUCGAAGGUACGCUAGGUACGGUCGGACAUCGUGCUAAUAGUGCAAUGGCAUAAGCGUGCUUAACUGCGAGACUGACAAGUCGAGCAGAUGCGAAAGCAGGACAUAGUGAUCCGGUGGUUCUGUAUGGAAGGGCCAUCGCUCAACGGAUAAAAGGUACUCUGGGGAUAACAGGCUGAUACCGCCCAAGAGUUCAUAUCGACGGCGGUGUUUGGCACCUCGAUGUCGGCUCAUCUCAUCCUGGGGCUGUAGCCGGUCCCAAGGGUAUGGCUGUUCGCCAUUUAAAGAGGUACGUGAGCUGGGUUUAAAACGUCGUGAGACAGUUUGGUCCCUAUCUUCCGUGGGCGCUGCAGAUUUGAGGAAGCCUGCUCCUAGUACGAGAGGACCGGAGUGGACGAACCUCUGGUGUAUCGGUUGUCACGCCAGUGGCAUUGCCGAGUAGCUAAGUUCGGAAGAGAUAACCGCUGAAAGCAUCUAAGCGGGAAACUCGUUUCAAGAUUAGAUCUGCCGGGGCCUUGAGCCCCCUAAAGAGUCGUUCAAGACCAGGACGUUGAUAGGUCAGGUGUGGAAGUG
rnacentral:rRNA from 1 species